rnacentral:rRNA from 1 species
UUAGCGGCGGACGGGUGAGUAACGCGUGGGUAACCUGCCUCAUACAGGGGGAUAACAGUUAGAAAUGACUGCUAAUACCGCAUAAGCGCACAGGACCGCAUGGUCCGGUGUGAAAAACUCCGGUGGUAUGAGGUGGACCCGCGUCUGAUUAGCUGGUUGGCGGGGUAACGGCCCACCAAGGCGACGAUCAGUAGCCGACCUGAGAGGGUGGCCGGCCACAUUGGGACUGAGACACGGCCCAAACUCCUACGGGAGGCAGCAG